GAUGAAGAACGUAGCGAAAUGCGAUAAGUAAUGUGAAUUGCAGAAUUCAGUGAAUCAUCGAAUCUUUGAACGCACAUUGCGCCCGCUGGUAUUCCGGCGGGCAUGCCUGUUCGAGCGUCAUUUCAACCCUCAAGCUCUCCGGAGUUUGGUGUUGGGGCGCCUGGGGCUUUUCGACCUCAGGGCCCUCAAGUCCAUCGGCGGGACCGCCAGGACACUGAGCGCAGUAGUAUUAUUUCGCUCGGUAGGAUCUUCCACGGCGGGUCGAUCUGGCCGCUAAACCCCCCAAUUCUCACCAAAGGUUGACCUCGGAUCAGGUAGGAAUACCCGCUGAACUUAAGCAUAUCAAUAAGCGGA
rnacentral:misc_RNA from 1 species